GGUGUUUGCUAGGAUGCAUGAGCUAAGCAGCUAAAACAACAGCACCAGGAGAACCAGAAGAGCCUCCGAGAAGGCUCGCAUGUCAGCAGGGAAUACAAUCAAGAUAACUCAGGAAAGAAGAUAAUUCAUAAUUAUAGAAGUAAAAAUGCAUAACUCUUAAUAGUGAUCAAUUCAACAGAGAAGAGAUAGCCUUUGAAAUAUCUGAAUUUUCUUUAAAUAUUAAUGAUGAAGAAUUUAGGGAAAUAUCCACCUAUGGGACCAAGAUGAUUUCAUCCAGCCGCUGUGUCUGGAGGUCGGUCUCUAACUACAGAGUGACAUGGACCUCACACACUGCUUCCUGAAAGCAGUGAUAUACAAACGCUGUUGUGCUAUGUGUUCGCUAUUUAGCAGCGAGCUUUCAGAGUGCAGAUCUGACCUGAACACUGCUUGGUUUUCAUGCACAUUAACACAGGAGAUGGGAGUGAAACAGCAGGGCGUGAACUUCACUUGCUCAUCGGUGAAGCUCAGCAGUAAGGACUAACUACUCAGCUUGAUUGGACAAGAGCUUCUGAAUACUGGAAGAGUAUUUCUUCCAUCUUUUUCAUUCUAGUCACAUUUUCAAAUGCACAGAACCCAUAUUCUUUUCAGUUUGGACUUAAUUGCUAACAUUUAAACACAUUAUCUAUAAUUUGAAAACUAAUUCAAAUUUAUAAGUUCAAGAUAUUUCUAGUAGAUGCAUAUAUCCAGUUUAUAUAUGGAUUAAGAUGUGACUCUGUUUUUCCUUCUCUGACCAAAGAAGUUUUUUUGUUUGUUUUUUUUUCGGGGGGGUAGCUGGGAUCGAACUUGGCUCCUUGCGCUUGCGCAGCAGGUGGCGAAACCACUGAGCUAAGUCCCCAGCCCUGACCAAAGAAGUUUAAAAGAGAUGAAUGGCUACAAUGAUAUUAUAUAAUGAUAUUUUAUGUAUUCAUAUACAGAACAAGGCAUUAUUUUUCAAUAGCAAGUUUAUUUGCCACUUCAUUAAAAAAUUUUUGAGUAGGGAGAAAUCAAUCUACAGUAAGUAACUAAAGCUGCAAUUCUGGAUUUCUUUUUGGUCAAGAUAUCUUUGAAGCUAAUGAACAUUUAGUUUAGACAUAGGUACAAUACUUUGAAUUAAAUAUUUAUGGGUUCGAUAAUACCAGAAUUUAAAAAUGCACAUACACACACAUAAGAACUGAAUUUUCAUAUGAUGUAAAUACUAAUUUACUUUGCAUAAAUAAAACAAGAUGCUGUUUCUUUUCUACACCUCAAAUAGAUUCAUACUACCAAUAAAUGAAAUGUACACCAAAAUAACCAAUAUCAUUUAAAAUUUCCUAUGUUUUACCAGCAAAUUAAACCAAAAUAUCUAAUUAGUCCUGUGUGUUUAAAUGAAGAAAACUUGAUUUAAUUAUUUGCUUACUGGCUUUUUAUUUUUGCAAGACAUGGCUCAUUAAAAGUUGUGAUAGACUCUGCCAAUAAAAUCCAGCAGAUUGCACUUUGGAAACAGGUAAUUAAGUUAAAAUAUAAGACACAUAAAAUUCUGUUUUGUGGUUUUCAUCAGCCAGACACAGAAAGUAAGACAAAUAUUUGAAUUGAAUUAUAUUUUCAAAAUACACAUUUUUUUGAAAUAAAAAAUUUUAAGACCAAAUCGUUUCAUUAUUUAACACAUGUAGCACUGUUAAAUGCUAACUCAGG
ensembl:lncRNA